rnacentral:lncRNA from 1 species
AUGAUCUUGGCUCACUGCAACCUCUGCCUCCUGAGUCCAAGUGAUUCUCCUGCCUCAGCCUCCCGAGUAGCUAGAAUUACAUGCAUGUACCAUCAUGCCUGGCUAAUUUUUUUUUUUUUUUUGAGACUGAGUCUCACUCUGUUACCCAGGCUGGAGUGCAGUAGCACAAUUUCAGCUUACUGCAAUCUCUGUCUCCUGGGUUCAAGCAAUUCUCCUGCCUCAGCCUCCUGAGUAGCUGGGAUUACAGGCACGCACCACCGUGCCCAGCUAAUUUUUUGUAAUUUUUAGUAGAGACGGGGUUUCACCAUGUUGACCAGGAUGGUCUCGAUCUGUUGACCUCAUGAUCCACCCGCCUCAGCCUCCCAAAGUGCUGGGAUUACAGGCUUGAGCCACCGCGCCCGGCCCCAUAUCUAAUUUUCAAAAGGAUAUUUGUACUUUACCUUAAUCAAUAAUUUCAAGCAUGCUAAUCUAAACAUGUGUGUGAAGUUCUAUAGAGAAUGGAAAUUCAGAAAUACCAAAGGCUAUUACAACCAUAAUAAGCUUGGCCACAAGAUACCAUAAUACAUUCAAAAUCAAAAUCCUGUAAGAUCCAAAAGACUGAAUUGCUAAUAGUGGAAUUUCAGGCACAGAGGAGGAAAAGGGUGGAUUUCAUGAUAAGAUUCGAUCAGCCUUUCAAAUCAUACCACAAAGGAUAAGCAUCUUCUCAUAUGCUGGUCUGGAAGGAAGACAGCCAAUUACUCCAUCCUUUACUUACAUGACUGAAAUUAAUUUUUUCAGAAAAAGGGGCUCAUGAUUAAACUAUAAAAAUGUAGAGUGAUCGAUGGAGUCUUUUCUGCAUCCUUGCUUGCUCUAUUGUUUUACUCACAGUAGGUCACCCAGUCAACCUUAUUACAUGGUUGUGUGAUGGACUUUGUUCCUCUAUAUAAACAAAUUUAAUAUUUUACUCUUUCCUUUAUCUAAAUGUUAGAUAUAAUGUUAUAGCAAGGCAACUUUUUUUCACUGGAAGCAUAUGAAAUACAGGUUCUAUGUGUUUGGUGCCAGUGGAGAAUACCCUCCUAUUUCUAAUAAGAUAAAUAGUUCAUUGGAGUUAAAGAUAGUCUAGGAAAAUCUCCCUUUGGGUAUUCAUUUUGAAAAUCUUACUGAAACAAUGUGGUUAAAAAUUUUCACUUUAUUUUGUAGAGCACAUAAACAUAUUCCCCUCUUUUCCUCCAAGCCCUAUUUGUCACAUACUCUUUAGUAUACUAUUUGCAU